GUACUCGCUUCAGCAGCACGUAUACUAAAAUUGGAAUGAUACAGAGAAGAUUAGCACAGCCCUUGCGCAAGGAUGACACACAAAUUUGUGAAGCAUUCCAUAUUUUU
rnacentral:snRNA from 1 species